rnacentral:rRNA from 1 species
CCUACGGGAGGCAGCAGUGAGGAAUAUUGGUCAAUGGGCGCAAGCCUGAACCAGCCAAGUCGCGUGAGGGAUGACGGUCCUAUGGAUUGUAAACCUCUUUUGUCGGGGAGAAAGGCCCGCCACGUGUGGCUGGAAGGAGAGUACCCGAAGAAAAAGCAUCGGCCAACUCCGUUCCGGCGGCCGCGGUAAUACGGGGGAUGCGAGGGUUAUCGGGCUUUAUUGGGUUUAAGGGGUGCGUAGGCGGAAGGUUAAGUCAGCGGGAAAAUGUCGGGGCUCACCACCGGCCUGCAGUUGAGACUGGUCGUCUUGAGUGAGCGAGAGGUAGGCGGAAUGCGUGGUGUAGCGGUGAAAUGCAUAGAUAUCACGCAGAACUCCGAUUGCGAAGGCAGCAUACUGGCGCUCAACUGACGCUGAGGCACGAAAGCGUGGGGAUCGAACAGGAUUAGAUACCCUUGUAGUC